GGCACAGAGGGAAAAAAACAACGCGCCUCUAUUGUUGAGGGUGCCUUGUACCUGGGCCGCGAAGUGCGGCGGAGCUGAGACCCCGCGGGAGGGACCCCGGCUCCGGGCUGGGGUCGGGGGUUUGGGGAGGAAGAUCCAGCCUGGGGCCGGCAGGGCUGCCUCCGUUCCCCGGGGGUUUCGGGAGGGGACAAGGCAGCCCUGGGGUCCGGCCGAGCGCGGAGGAGGAGGAAGGCGGCGGGGCAGGUGAAGGCCGAACCUUUCUUCACAUUCCCCGCCGUUUCCUCUAGCCAAAAUCCUUGUAUUUUUAUAUUAAAAAUUAUACUU